rnacentral:rRNA from 1 species
UACGAAGGGAGCUAGCGUUGUUCGGAAUCACUGGGCGUAAAGCGCACGUAGGCGGAUGUGUCAGUCAGGGGUGAAAUCCCGGGGGCUCAACCUCGGAACUGCCUUUGAUACAGCACGUCUUGAGUCCGAUAGAGGUGGGUGGAAUUCCUAGUGUAGAGGUGAAAUUCGUAGAUAUCAGGAGGAACAGCCGGUGGUCGUAGACGGCUUUGCU